AGACUUGUGUGAUAUUCGCAGCGGUAAGAACUGAACAGCCCUUUCCUUUAGUCUGUAGGAUGCAACUACAAGCAGAAGGUUUAGAUCAACAUACAUGUGGGUCCCAGACUCAGAUCCUGAUACCGAUGCUGACUUUCCCUAUGGCUUAAGGUGCUUACAGCAAGAACGGUGUUGGUCUCUUCUCACUGGUGACAGGUGACAGGAAGAGGGGAAAUGGCCUCAAGUUGCACCAGGGAAUGAAAUCACAUUUGAAGAUUCAAUGCUUUAUGAAACUGAAGUGCUAUUUUCUACCAUCUCUGCUUUGAGCAUUCAUGUUCAGCUUUGAGAACAAGGAUCUAUGAGGAACACAAGCCUUUAUCUCAUGCAUGCUGAAUACAAUCUGUUCACUCAGAGCCACAUGAGAGGAGGGAAUAGUGCCUGCUAGGAUCCAGCUCUCAAAAUGUGUGAACAGUGGACAGGAUCACCCACUCCACUUUGGAUAGUGUUGAUCACUGUGAAUUCUCACUGAAUGCAAAACAAUGAUGAGUCAAAUCCUGCCAUAUAAGCCGGAUGAAAUAUUCCCACUUAAUAGUAACGUCUGAGUAAAAUCUUAAACUGUCACCCAGGCAGUUUGCCUUCUCUUCAUCUUAACUUAAGAAAAUGCAUAUCCUAGAACACACAUCUAAAGUGACACAGAGCUUCAAUAAGUGAACACAGACAUCCUUUGAAGUCUCCUCAAUUCUUCCAAGUCCUCAGGCCAUUUCAAAGUGUGUUCUGGGAAAGGAAUAAGUGCAAGAGUUGGACCACCUGCCUUGGCACCAGAACAGUGACCUAAUUGUCCCUUCCCAAAUAUACAAAGAAGGCAGGAAGCAGUUUCAGUUUCUUAAUUCCAGUUUUGUGAAGGCAUCUCCCUACUUGCCUGAGCUCACUGUUGCUGUUCAAGGAAGAGACAGAUUCUUUACACAGCCUUUCUUUUGAGCAUUUCCUAUCAACUAGCUCCUGUCUUCAUAAGGUGCCCUGUGUUUGGCACUUACCUCUCUUCAGAACUUGGAUGCCUCAUUUGAAUUAUGCUCUCUCACCAAACAGCUCCAGCUAUCAUAAAAUCUAAAUCCCCCGUUCUUAUUCCAAAUCCCAGGACUGGACAACCUCUAUAUUUUCUAUAUUAAUUGAAGAUAGGCAAAGGUGUGGGGAAGCUGGGAGCAGAAGAAAAUUAUACUGAAUGACAUUAACAUACAUUAUUAAUAGAAGAAUAUGAUGAAAAUAAAAACAUAGUAACUGAAUCAAUUGAGAUGACUUGAGACCAGGUUGGAUGGGGCCGCAGGCAGUGUGAUCUAGUAUUAGAUAUGGAGGUUGGCGGCCCUGCCUGCAGCAGGGGGAUUGGAGCUAAAUGAUCCUUGAGGACACUUCCAACCCAAGCCAUUCUACAGUUCUAUGAUUAUGAUUCUAUUACUUAUGGAGAGAGUGUUAGGAGGAAGAGCAAGAAGGAGAUCAUAGGUGGAAAAGACUUAGAAGGAAGGAAAAUUGGAAAGAUAAGCAAACAGAAUGAGGAAAAAAACCAACAGAAGAAAUUAGUAGAAUCAUAAAAUAAUUCUGAAGAAAAUCAGGUUGAAGAAAUGCCACAAUAAAGCCUGAGCUGAGCUGUUUUGAGGUCUGUUCCCUGUUGUAGAUAUCUGUACAUUUAGCUCUGAACUUUCUCAAGUGUUUGAUUCCACUUAACUGAACUGGAACGCUCUAAUACUGUACACUACCUCAUAGAGAUUGACAAAAAAAGUGUUGACUGGGACACUGGUGAUUGCUCACUCUGGAUAGGUCCACAUCCCUCUGCUUAUAUCCCCUUGAAUUUUGUAACAAUGGCAUAAACUCAUUCUACCAGCAUCCACACAAUAUCUAAAUGUUGUAUGAAGCAAAUUGAUCCAAAAGUUGUGUAUGCCAGUUUUAGCUCUUCCAGCAGGUAUCUAAUACAUUUCAAAGCACGAUGUUUUAGUAUGUUUGAAUCACACUCAGAACACAAUGAGUGCUUAUAUCUCUUUUUUCAAAAUGCUGUGAGAACAUAAGCAAAGGAGAAGCUGACUCGCUGCUAUGCUAUGAUCCCACGUUCCCACUAAAAGUGCUGCUGUAAUUUAUAGCCCUUCUUGUUCGUAUCUCCUAGAGUAAUUUUAGCACUGCCAUCAAGGAAAGUGAUAUAUGUGAAUCAAUUACUAACUGAGGCUACUAGGAUAACAGCACCUGAGAAAUGCUUUGUCUGAAGGAGGGAAGUGCGUGGCUUGGAACCUGACUGAAGAGAAUACAAAAAGAAAAAAAAAGAAAAAAAAGUUGUAAAAGGAAAAUAAUACAGUUUGAUAGCCUGAAGUAAAAUAAAUCUUUAGUCUUUCCCUGUGAAUUUGCACAGUUAA